AAGUACCAGAGGAACUUUGAACACCUUAGCUGUAGGGCUGUGCUGUUCAACAUUAACUUCUCAGUAAAAGAGCUGUUUUGUUUUUAUUGUGUUUUCUUUUCACUGCUUUUAAUAGCUAUAAACAACCUCUGUGUGGAGCAUAUCCUGAAACUUUCGACCAGCUGGGUGAGGGGCCUUCAUAUCAAUUUCAAGCCUGUGGAGAAGAGAGCAUAACAGGUCCCUGACUGCUCCAGCCACUUCCUGCCUGCCAAGGAAUGCUGGAAACAGAGGUCAUUAUUGCACAAGUAAUUAAAGGUUCAUCAGCCCUACCUCUCUGAUUGCUUAAGGACAUUGUAGUAAAGGACAAAUACUCCUGCUUGCCCACUGUUAUUUGUUUUCUGCUUUCUGUUUUUCUUGGCUUGAGAAGAGGAAUUAUGAAGACUCUUGAGUAGGAUCUGGGAGUGCUGUGGACUAAUGCAUUUGGCUGUGGCCCUGGGUAUGUUGUGGAUCACUCUACUACUGAGAAAUAGAGUGCCUUCGGGGCCCCCUCUCUUCCUGCUUUUCCCCAAGAUUCAGACACUAGAGAGAUGGCUCUCAAAAAGCAGCUCCAUGUUGCCCAGGCCCUGGCACAGGGUGGGCAAAGAAGCCCAGGCUGGGGGAGGUCUGUAGAGCUCUGAAUAGCUGAGGUGCAUCCUAUUCUCAUAUUAGCAGACAUGGGGAUUUUACUCCAUCUGAGCUGGACUCCAAAAAUGUGAGACUGACCUGUAGUGGGAGGUUUUCCUAUGAAUUUUCUUAAAGGGAUUAAUUUCUCUUUCUGUGGUUUGAACCCUGAAGUUCACAUUUUUGUAUGUUUUCUCUCCAUUACAGUAUGCAAGAAAUUACUUUGUCUUUUAAAUAGACACUGAGACUCACUUAUGAGCAGGGGCCUCUUGAAAAAAAAAAAAGAAAAAGAAGUAAGUACCAAAUAUUUUCUAUCUUUGACAGAAUCACAGGAGCAGGGCAGACUAAGCAAUGCACCCUUUAACCACCUGUCCCUCAAGAUCUGGAGAGUCUGUUAUCUUUGAGGAGCACAGGCCACAGACAUGGGAAGUCAUGUUGCAGUCCUCCAGCUUUUCUUGUGUUGUUGAAUAAUUGUCAGCACUAUCUAAAGAAAUAAGCCCCCAUUGUGCUGAAUGUCCUUGUGCUUCAAGAGCAGUGGAAGAAACAUCUCUUUUUAUUCUAAGCUGAGAAUAAAAAGAGAACUGGCUUUUGGCCCCUUUGGUCCAGUGACAUUGUGAAUGAGCCUCACAGUAUGGCUGAUACAGGGUGGGCAUUUCCCUCCCUCCUAGGAGUGUAAAAGGGGAUUGAGCUCAGACUGCACCCCAAAAGCUUCCUUGUCAGUGAAGAUAUUUUUCCCCUGAGAGGGGCUUGGCUGUAGCUCAGAAACAGCUUUAAGGGCACGUGUCAGGUAGGCAGAUGGAGUGGGUGAUGGAGAUGAUCUGCUGAAGAAAGAGAAGAGUGGAAUGAGAAGAUGAGUGACAAAAGGGCAGCCGUGUGGUUGACCCUGUGAAAGUGGAGGAGGGGAAGAACUCAUCUCAAAAGGAGCAAGGACUCAGCAGCAAAAUUGCCUGGAAUAUGAGGCUGAUGCAGAAAAGGCUUGGUGGAAUGAUCAGACCUGAGGUUACUCUAUGUGUGUCUGCGGGGGAGUCAAGUAACUCCUUGCUCAAUCUGCAGGGGCUGCCUAAUCAACAGUCCUGUGUCAGUCUCAGCCCAGGAUGCUCUGAGGUUACACUAAUCCUGCUGCCGAGCAGAGGGGUGUCUCCUGAGGUCCCAGGGGCACUGCAUCUCCACACGUGAACACAGCCCCCAGUGUGGCAGCCUUAUGAGAGACGCUGUGUAAUGGCCUGUUUUGAAUUUGUAUUUCAUUUGCCUCCCAUAUGGGAUCAGUUUUUCCCUUUUCUUUAUUUUUUUUUUAAUAGCGUUUUUCCUAGUCAUAAUAAUCAGUGCUUCCCUGCCUUCUCCCCUUCAUUUUUCACAGCUGGCUUUGAUUGGUUUCAGUCCUGCAGAUGCUCCUUCGGACCCAGAAGAAGGGGCAAAGGUUCUUUUCCUUUAUGGUGCACAGCAGAUAGCCCUGCAGCCGGAGGGCUGGGGGAGGCUGGCUCUCCUGGACUGGCCUACUCUUUGCUGUAGCCCCAGCCGGCCUCUUGUGCAUCUGGUGAGCUUUGCCAAAUUGCAGGAUAAUUUCUCUGCCAAAGGCCUGGGGAAGAUCACAAGUAGUUGAUGGCGUGCUUGCCCCUUCUCUUGUGCUGUUCAAAAACAACUGUUCCUGCAAGCAAGAGGGGCAGGAUCCCCAAACGCCUCGUGCUCCCAGGCUGUGAGUACAAAGGGCCAGAGUGCAUCUGCAGAGAGUGUGCCGGCACUGACUCAGCCUUCUGGGUCUGUGAGCCAUCAGGCUUACAGCAACUGCAGCCCCACGUGUGUGACCGUGCGACGGCCGCGGUUCUACGGGCUGUGACUAACCUGCACAGCCCCGUGUCGUGCUCCACCAACAGGAGCUGGCACCAUGCACAGCACCCCGAGUGCAUGAAUUGGCAUGGGGGAAAAAAAAUAGUUCUUGGAUGGGCAGGCAGGCUUCCCUGAUGUUUUUGGAGCGUGAAUCAAACACAAAUUGCAUGGCAGAAAGGAGAAACUUCCCUUGGAGGCAACUUAAUCCACAGCUGCCUGAUGUGGGGUUUCUAGCAACUUCCUUCAAAGCAGCUUGUGCUGGUCACUGUUGGAGAUGGACGGUUGAGUUGACAGUCAUUCAGCUGAUCUGUUAUGGCUAUUCCUGCAUUCCAGGCACCAUCCAAAAGAAUGAGACAUAGCAUUGCACAAGACCAAAAGAAAGUAAAUGUUUACAGGCACAACGCACAUUUCAGCUUGUUACAUGUUCCUGAGCAGUGAAAAAAAUGAAACAAUAAUUAAAACAGGUCCCAAGUCUCAGUGUGUAUCUUGGCUCGCAGCACUGUCCUCUUGGAGUGCUGCCUCUGCCUCUCUCUGAUCCCAGCCUGAGCAGUACCACUGGGCCAUUGCAUCCAGGUCAAGGUCUUUCCAGUUACUCCAAGUACAUCCCCUUUCUGAGAACUGCAAGAGCCUUUUGGUGAGGUGAUUUUAUGGUUUGUGACAGAGCUGGGUGCUUGAUGUUUUCCCAGCACCCAGUCAUGCUGGGAUCCCCUGGAGCUGUUUGCCUUGAGUGUCCAAAAUGUUAGGGUAAGGGAAGUUACAGAUAGAUUCAUUCCCAGGGGAGAAGGGUGGAGAAAGUAGAGGAGCACAAGAGAGGUAGACAUUUAAGUAAUUUGUUCCCUGAAUGAUCCAUUUUUAAUGGUCUAGCUUGUCUUUGUGUGCACUCAGGGAAGAAAUUAGGGUGCAACAAAGCAGAUGUAGUAAAGGGCUGCGUUGGGACAUCUGACAGCUGUGCCAGCUGGACAGCAGCUACCUCUGCUCUCCUGCUCUGAGCACAGGGCUGGUCACAGCACAGCUGGACGGAUAGGAUGUCUCCUGACUGUGAGUCACGUGGGUGCAGGAGAGAAGACGGCCUCUGCUCUGCUGCUCUUUUCCCAAGGAGAAGAGUAGAGGGCCUGGUGGGGGGAGUUGUUUUGCAUAAAAGGGUGAAGCAAUGGAGUCUUUCUCUUGAGAGGAAGGAAAUGGGGUGAGAGCGGAGGGGUGGCUGAAACACCCUCUCCCCCAGAGUUGCUCUGUGCUUGAUGGUGCCUCCUGCCAAGUUGUGAAGCUCUUGCAGCAUCAUCUUGGCCUUCACACCAAGAGAACUUUUGUCACCCUGCAGGUCAGUCCCUGGCAAGGAAAAAGGCCCUUUUAGUAAUGAUCAGCCCACCAUGUGCAUGGCACAGAGAGACAGACCUCCCUCCAUGCGUGCAUUACCCUGGGCUCAGGCGUAGACUCGAUAUCCACAUAUGAGCAAUAGCUGUAGCUGCUGACUCACUCACAUCACUUUUCUUGGUUUUCUCAUUUCAGCAGUGAGCUGGCCAGAUAUUAUUCAUUUUAUUUGAGAUGUCUGCUGAACAUAUAAAUGUCUAGGCUUCCUGUAAGGAACAGAUGAAGUCCAAAAGGCACAAGGUAAAUGUGCAAGAGACUGUCUAAGAACACGCCUACAGCAUUGACUAGGGCCCGUACAUCAGGCAGAGGAAACAGCCAUUGCUGAGUCUGCAAAUAGGUUGGAUCUGUUGUUUUGUUUGCCACAUAAAGGGUACUUUUAGGAGGUGGCAGCUACGUGGCCUCUUGUUUUAUGUGACUGAAUUAUUUAAAGACCUUAAUGUUAGGGGGAAAUGCUGACUUUUCUGUAAGGCAGGUUACAACCUGCUUGUAUGCAGUGUUCUGUUACAGUUUUUCUCUGUCCUUGGGAAAACCAGGUUUUGUUUUAGACUUGCCAGACCAUUCUGAAGGCAAAUGACAGUACUUGAAUGAAGUCAGGGGAGGGAAGAAAGUAGCUCAUCAGUCAGUAAGUUAUGAAAAAUUAUUCUGAUUUAGGCAUCUGAUAUUUGUGUUCAUUCUACUCAGAAACAACUUAUCACCAGCUCCUCAAGGUUUUUGCAUCGUUAAAUCUCCUCAUUAACUUGGAUAGUAACUACUGUUGAGGAGAAUACAAAAAUCUGUGCGCCAUUAUAAAUCCUCACUCACUCUUACAGAACGUGUAGGGAAUCUAGCCUGGGAGUUAAGGUCCCAGAGCUAGUCCUGUCACCAAUGAUGGGAAGUUUCCGUGGAUAUAGUACACAGCAAAACAGAUGGGAAUGAUGACAUUUCUCUAACUGAGAACUAUCCAAAACCUUCCAGUAAAGAUUAUCUGCUUUGGUCUUACUGGGGUAGUAAAGGCCUGUGUUUGUAAAGCGGAAGAGCCAGCUUUUCAGAAGUCUGUUUUUUUACAGAAUGCUUGACACACAAGCCAUAAUUCUGGGAUUCUGGUUCCCUUGUUAAGUCCUCCUGCUUUCAGAUUCUUGGAGCUAAUUUUCAUUGACAAUAGGAACAUUCCUUGAAAAAUGCUGAUGUAAUGAAGUACGUGCUACUUGAGAUUAAAAGAUUUAUUCAGUGACUCCUUUGUGAAACUUUUGCGAAGUGUCUUAACAUUUUUAUGUUUCUCCAACUGCCAACAAAAUCUCAUUGCACCACACAGUUUGCAACAUUAGUCAGAUUUUGACACAGGCUCACGCAAGAGGCAGUUUUCACAGUCAGGAAUCAUAAAAUGUUAAAGAAAUUGCUAUUAUUUGAGAACUAGACACAGUUCAGUGAAGCAGAUGGACUUGCUAACAGUGACUUAGGAGGUCUGUAGCACAGCUGUGUUGACACGGAUUAUAGACAAUCAAAAUUGUAUAUAAAGUGCAUGCCUUAGUUUUAGUUUUAAGCAUAUUGCUAACAUUUAAUGAACUGUGUAACCUUAUAUGGUUUAUGUAUUUUUGUACUGUAGCAGCAAGUUAUGCUAAGGCCUUGACUAAACCUUCCCAGAAAUCUGUAUUGCUAUUUGUAAUGCAGGCACACAGACUGAGAGUGCCAAUAAGCCUUUGAUUGAAUCUUGAUUAAUGUAAAUACGUUAAGCCUGUAGGUGCCAUUCCAGCCCAGGGAGCUUCUUACAGCUUUUAACCACGUCCACAUCAGAGUUAGAGCCCCUUUGCUUCAGAUAAUUUCCAAAGACCAUCUGAAGAAUGUUUGGACUCACUUGUGAAGGAUCAGGGAUAGAGACAUUUUCUGAAGCCCCUGGCUGGCUUGUUUGCAACACCAUCCCAAUAAAAAUUAAGCCCUCAGACACAAACUUAGGAAAGGAAAGAAGAAAACAGAAUUCUGAUAUAUUUCACAACUGUACUCUGAUCCCAGGAGAAAGAUUGGGUAAGAAACACUGAUCUUUCUUACAUAUCUGUCUGCAAAGUUUUCAUUAGUCCUCUUUUACUAGCGAUCUCUCCUGGAUUAGGUGAGCAAGUUGCCUAAUUGUUUCAAUGGAUUGCUUUAAUUGGUCCUCAUCUAAGCAGCAGAGAGGGGAUGUAGGAGCACAGCAUUUAACCGAGAGGAGAACGGCAUGUGGGAUGGGAGAAGGAAGGCACACCAUGAAGUUACCCUUGAAGACACCAUGAAGUGUGCAAAAUUUGCAGAUCUUCCUUUGCCAAGGAAACGUGCUGAACACGCAUAUGUGUGUGGAAUGGGACAAGGCACCUCCAGCUUGGAGGCCAGCUUCUUCCAAGGUAAAUCUUCGUGGGAAUAACCUUCCUGAUCUACACUGCUGUCAAUACUUACUUGCUAGGGAUUGUGCCACUGAGCAAACACUGACUGCAAAGGCGCGUGAUGAGAAAGGGGAGUAACUGAAAGGAAACAUCCUUCCUGGUAUGGUCUUCAGUGUCUUCUCCUUGUAGAUGGCUUCUUCAAAGUAAAGACCGUGGACAUAGCAUGCAGGUGUGACCUAUAUGCAAAAUAAGUUAUUUGUAUCUCCUCCCACACCUUGCUCUCUAGACUCCAUGGCUGUGGUACUACUGCUGCUCCUAGGAGUCUGCCCUUAUCAUGAAGGGAAGGAUUUUAAUCUGUGAUUCCCCGAUUUUACCUGUGGACAAUUCCACCUCUUUAUGUAGUGUCUUUCAAGGCAUUAAUAGCAGAGAGUGUGUGGUUUUCCUCUUUUUUUUUUUUUUUUCCUCCAGUCUUCCCUUCCUUCAAUCUUUGUUUUGUUUCAGCUGUCCUGUUACAUUUUUUGGAGCCCAGGAGCCAGGGAUAGCCCACUUCACUGCCUGACUUCUCAAGAAUUGCAGAAUAGGCCUGUGCAACAUGAACCCCUCUGUUUUUAAUGGGACCUGUCCAAGGGAUGGUUUCUUACCAUAUCUGGCCUGUCUGGGUCACAGUUACACCUACUGGUGUAUUUUCUGUGCCAUUUUUCUGCUGUUUUCUAUGUUUACUAUACAUUUCUCUGCUUUCUUUUUCUUUUUUCUUCCUAUACUCCAGCUAUUCUUGCAACACAUGCAAAAAAGUGAACAAAAAUUAUUGCAGGACUUGAUGUGGCUCCAUGGCCAUUUUGCUGCAAAUAUUUUCAAAAUAAAUAUAUUUAAUAUUAAAAAAAAAUCCUGUCUGCCUUUAAAACCUGUAGUGUCUUGAUUUGUGUUUUCCGUAAAAUCAUGUGUCUUCAGCCAGUGUUAACAGAUUAAUUAUUGCCUUAAGUGGCAGAAGAAAAGAAAAAAUGAUGGAACCAUAUUUCCCUCUAACACCUGAGUUCUGGAGGUCACGAGAGAUGUCACACCUGAAGCUGUGUCCCUGUGGUCCCAGCUUUUAAUUUUUAAACAGAAAUAUUAUCUCCCAAUCUCAGCAAACAAUCCAGAUAGUGAAUUGUGAUAAAUUUUCUAUAUCUUUCCCUUGACAGCAUUUGCUGGGGUUUUGACUCUGCACAUUGGAGGAUCACCUCGAUUGUUUUUGAUUUUGCUCUGCAGGUCUGUCCUUUUUAUUUUGGGGAGAGGAAAAAAAAAUUAAAAAAGAGACACAUACGAACAGCCUUAGAGUUUGGCAAAGCUGAUGCUGCUGCAGCUGGAAAGAAGAUGUGUCUACUGGAAGAACCUUUAGCAGUCAAAAAGGACUGAAACAUCAAGUAGGACUCUUCAGGCUGAGAUACAGUGAGGGUGCAGCCCAAAUGACCUCGGUAAAGUGCUGUGGGGGAGACUGUUCUUAUGGCCUUUUUAUUCCCAUGCACAUGCCUGUCCCUGAUGAGUUUGUGAUUUGACUAUGGGGACAGGGACUAGAGAUAAAUGAGUAGAAGGUGUGCUUUUGGCUGAAAAUAUAAAACCCAUGAAAACUUCUCACCUGUGUUUCUCUGUUCAGGGGAAGUGUGGUAGGAACUUCCCUAGCAGUGCCAGGUGGACUUAGAUGAAGAAGAGAACCAAGAUAUUAAGACAUAAAUGAAUUAAGCAUGGCUGAGAAAUGCAGGGUUAAUCUCCAAACCUAAAGGAUUAAUUUAUUCCCAUUAUUUCUCUUCAUGCUUACUAUGUGCCUUUCUUGCAUUUGGUCCCUCCUUUAAAAAAAAAAACUUGUAAAUUUUUCUAGUAACCUCUGAAAGACUCUUAAUUUUUUUUUCUUUAAAGAAAAUUGUCUGCAGAAUAAUCUUCUCUUCUAGGCAAAUGUCAUCUUCAGAAUAAAACAUGCAUGCACGAGGAAAUUCCCUUGAAGAGGGGAAGAAAGCUUACUUUCUUGGGCCCCUUUCAGCAUGAUCUGACACACACUAUGUUAUCCUUAGAUGAUCUGUUAUUAUUUUCCUCCUCCUGAGCCACGUGUCAGCAACCAUAUGUGUGUGAGCAGCUGAAACUGUCCUUUGGACUCUCCACUGGCAGACUGACAGCGUGGGCAAGUGGACAGCAGGCUGGGGCUGGGUGCAGCACCUGUCCAAGUGGCUGACCAGCUCUGUAACCCAGGCACAUAUAUAUUCUAGGCUUGAUGCACCCGGACUCAUCUCUUCCACAUCUGCAUAGCAGUGAGCAACAUCAGGAAUGUCAAUUACCUUCACCCUUGUGAUAACCAUAAGUCAUACCUGAAAUUUCUCUGUAUGCCCAUUUUGAAAACGUUGUUUAUAUAGAGAGCAGCUGCUCUCUAUUUGUCCUGUAAAACAUUGUCCUGUAUUGAUGGUUAGUGGGGAUCAGCAACAAAGGCGGUGGAACGACAGCAAUUGGUUCUAGCCUGACAUUUGGCUAGUCAUCUUUUGGUAAAAGGGGUGUGUUAAGUCAUGAUCAGAAAAGUCAUAGCUACUGUCACCUAAAAUCUGCUAAAAAUGAUUAAUAGCCAAGUGGGAGUGUUUAGUGUUUUUUUUUUGGAGCCCACAUCUAUAUCCCUCAGAAGCCAUUGUUUUUACUGAAACCAAAUUAUAAUAGUGGACUUUGCAAUGCUGCGUGUGCAUAUAAAAUGCUCAGCCUGGGAAUGGUUUGUGUCUGUUCUUUGAAGAAGUCUGUCAGCUCUGCAAUGUGCAGCAGUUUCCUCACCUUCAACUGGGCAAUGACUUGUGUGGAGUUACAUUCAUGAAGGCACUUACUUCUUCAUGGACUUCCAUCAGCUGCCAACAAGAUACAGCCAAACUUCUCAUGCUGGUGAGGUGUCUUCCCGAUGGCUGCAGGCCAUGUUGGUCUUUCCCAGACACUUUUGUUAGUUUCUUUCUUCAGAGCAGACCUAAGAAACAGACCCAGUAAGAUCUCUGCAAAUUAUUCAGCAAUUAAAAUGUACUGGAUUUUAUGCUAGUAAAUUAGCUGGAAGGACAAUUCGGCAUUUUUAACAAGUGGCAAAAAUGCCUUGGAUACUACAUCACUUUUAUUAGCGUGGCUUGCACAUAACAUUUUCCAAAAAACAAAUAAAAUAAUUUACUGCCA